rnacentral:rRNA from 1 species
GACGAACGCUGGCGGCGUGCUUAACACAUGCAAGUCGAACGGUAAGGCCCUUCGGGGUACACGAGUGGCGAACGGGUGAGUAACACGUGGGUGAUCUGCCCUGCACUUCGGGAUAAGCCUGGGAAACUGGGUCUAAUACCGGAUAGGACCACUGCCUGCAUGGGUGGUGGUGGAAAGCUUUUGCGGUGUGGCGGGGAUGGGCCCGCGGCCUAUCAGCUUGGUGGUGGGGUGAUGGCCUACCAAGGCGACGACGGGUAGCCGGCCUGAGAGGGUGACCGGCCAAACUGGGACUGAGAGACGCCCCAGAGUCCUACGGGAGGCAGCGGUGGGUAAUAUUGCACUAUGGGCGGAAGCCUGAUGCAGCGACGCCGCGUGAGGGAUGACGGCCUUCGGGUUGUAAACCUCUUUCAGCACCGACGAAGCGCAAGUGACGGUAGGUGCAGAAGAAGGACCGGCCAACUACGUGCCAGCCGCCGCCGUAA